rnacentral:rRNA from 1 species
CCUACGGGAGGCAGCAGUGAGGAAUAUUGGUCAAUGGACGAGAGUCUGAACCAGCCAAGUAGCGUGAAGGAUGACUGCCCUAUGGGUUGUAAACUUCUUUUAUAUGGGAAUAAAACGUUCCACGUGUGGGAUUUUGUAUGUACCAUAUGAAUAAGGAUAGGAGAACUCAGUGCCAGCAGCCGCGGGAAUACGGAGGAUCCGAGCGUUAUCCGGAUUUAUUGGGCUUAAAGGGAGCGUAGGUGGAUUGUUAAGUCAGAUGUGAAAGUUAGCGGCUCAACCGUAAAAUUGCAGUUGAAACUGGCAGUCUUGAGUACAGUAGAGGGGGGCGGAAUGCGUGGUGUAGCGGUGAAAUGCUUAGAGAUCACGAAGAACUCCGAUGGCGAAGGCAGUUCACUGGACUGCAACUGAUGCUGAGGCGCGAAAGUGUGGGUAGCAAACAGGAUUAGAUACCCCGGUAGUC